AUGCUUUGCUCCCAACGUUUGCGGCCCAAGCAUGUUGUCCACUCCUAUAAGAAUGUGAUGAAACCGUUCACGCGGUCAAUUUUGCCAAGUCGUCUAAACCCAGCUGGACACGUUCAAAGUCUCCGAGUUGUAUUUGUACAUUAACGUUCAGUUGGUUCCCGCCACUAGCACAAAAGGGAAAAAACUUUUUUAUUUGUCAAUUGCAGUUCUAUAUGCACAAAAAUAGUACAUCCAGAACGUGGAUUGAGAAAUCACAAACUCUCACUCGGCAAUGAUAGCAACGUCCCAAUUACUUAUACUCC
rnacentral:lncRNA from 1 species